CAGUCGUACGCUUCUUUUUCCACCGGAGCUUGCUCCACCGGAAAAAGAAGAGUGGCGAACGGGUGAGUAACACGUGGGUAACCUGCCCAUCAGAAGGGGAUAACACUUGGAAACAGGUGCUAAUACCGUAUAACAAUCGAAACCGCAUGGUUUUGAUUUGAAAGGCGCUUUCGGGUGUCGCUGAUGGAUGGACCCGCGGUGCAUUAGCUAGUUGGUGAGGUAACGGCUCACCAAGGCCACGAUGCAUAGCCGACCUGAGAGGGUGAUCGGCCACAUUGGGACUGAGACACGGCCCAAACUCCUACGGGAGGCAGCAGUAGGGAAUCUUCGGCAAUGGACGAAAGUCUGACCGAGCAACGCCGCGUGAGUGAAGAAGGUUUUCGGAUCGUAAAACUCUGUUGUUAGAGAAGAACAAGGAUGAGAGUAACUGUUCAUCCCUUGACGGUAUCUAACCAGAAAGCCACGGCUAACUACGUGCCAGCAGCCGCGGUAAUACGUAGGUGGCAAGCGUUGUCCGGAUU
rnacentral:rRNA from 1 species